rnacentral:rRNA from 1 species
CCGACGGUGAGUAACACGUAUCCAACCUGCCGUCUACUCUUGGCCAGCCUUCUGAAAGGAAGAUUAAUCCAGGAUGGCAUCAUGAGUUCACAUGUCCGCAUGAUUAAAGGUAUUUUCCGGUAGACGAUGGGGAUGCGUUCCAUUAGAUAGUAGGCGGGGUAACGGCCCACCUAGUCAACGAUGGAUAGGGGUUCUGAGAGGAAGGUCCCCCACAUUGGAACUGAGACACGGUCCAA